rnacentral:rRNA from 1 species
UACGUAGGGUGCAAGCGUUGUCCGGAAUCAUUGGGCGUAAAGCGCGCGUAGGCGGCCCGAUAAGUCCGCUGUAAAAGUCAACGGCUCAACUGUUGAAAGCCGGUGGAUACUGUCGGGCUAGAGUACGGAAGAGGCGAGUGGAAUCCUGGUGUAGCGGUGAAAUGCGCAGAUAUCAGGAGGAACACCGAUUGCGAAGGCAGCUCGCUGGGACGU